UACGAAGGGGGCUAGCGUUGCUCGGAAUCACUGGGCGUAAAGCGCACGUAGGCGGCUUUCUAAGUCAGGGGUGAAAUCCUGGAGCUCAACUCCAGAACUGCCUUUGAUACUGGAGAGCUUGAGUCCGGAAGAGGUGAGUGGAACUCCGAGUGUAGAGGUGAAAUUCGUAGAUAUUCGGAAGAACACCAGUGGCGAAGGCGGCUCGCUGGUCCGGUACUGACGCUGAUGUGCGAAAGCGUGGGGAGCAAACAGG
rnacentral:rRNA from 1 species